UAGGCGGACGGGUGAGUAACGCGUGGGUAACCUACCCUGUACAGGGGGAUAACAGUUAGAAAUGACUGCUAAUACCGCAUAAGCGCACAGUGCUGCAUGGCACAGUGUGAAAAACUCCGGUGGUAUGAGAUGGACCCGCGUCUGAUUAGCUAGUUGGUGGGGUAACGGCCUACCAAGGCGACGAUCAGUAGCCGGCCUGAGAGGGUGAACGGCCACAUUGGGACUGAGACACGGCCCAAACUCCUACGGGAGGCAGCAUG
rnacentral:rRNA from 1 species